rnacentral:misc_RNA from 1 species
GAUGAAGAACGUAGCGAAACGCGAUAAGUAAUGUGAAUUGCAGAAUCCAGUGAAUCAUCGAAUCUUUGAACGCACAUUGCGCCCGCCAGUAUUCUGGCGGGCAUGCCUGUCAGCGUCAUUUCAACCCUCAUGCCCCUAGGGCGUGGUGUUGGGGAUCGGCCAAAGCCCGCGAGGGACGGCCGGCCCCUAAAUCUAGUGGCGGACCCGUCGUGGCCUCCUCUGCGAAGUAGUGAUAUUCCGCAUCGGAGAGCGACGAGCCCCUGCCGUUAAACCCCCAACUUUCCAAGGUUGACCUCAGAUCAGGUAGGAAUACCCGCUGAACUUAAGCAUAUCAAUAGCGGAGGA